rnacentral:tRNA from 1 species
GCCUUUAGCUCAGCUGGCUAGAGCACCUGCUUUGCAAGCAGGGGGU